UCAGUGGAGACUCGGCUUUGGGAGGGAGAAAGAGGUGGGACCUAGCGCCGGCCGCGCAGGCGCACGGUGGGCAGCUGCAAUGGCGCUGUCGUGUACCCUUAACAGGUAUCUGCUCCUCAUGGCGCAGGAGCAUCUGGAGUUCCGCCUGCCGGAAAUAAAGUCUUUGCUUUCGCUUUUUGGAGGUCAGUUUGGCAGCAGUCAAGAAACUUAUGGAAAGUCACCAUUUUGGAUUCUUAGCAUUCCCUCUGAAGAUAUUGCAAGAAAUUUAAUGAAACGGACAGUGUGUGCCAAGUCUAUAUUUGAACUAUGGGGUCAUGGACAAUCUCCUGAGGAGCUGUACAGUUCUCUUAAGAAUUACCCUGUGGAGAAGAUGGUUCCAUUUCUACAUUCGGACUCUACAUAUAAAAUAAAGAUUCACACUUUUAAUAAGACAUUGACACAAGAAGAGAAAAUCAAGCGAAUAGAUGCACUUGAAUUUCUGCCAUUUGAAGGAAAAGUGAAUUUAAAGAAACCACAACAUGUAUUCUCUGUUUUGGAGGAUUAUGGUUUGGACCCAAACUGCAUCCCUGAGAAUCCACAUAAUAUUUAUUUUGGUAGAUGGAUUGCAGAUGGACAGAGAGAGCUUAUUGAGUCAUACAGUGUCAAAAAGAGACACUUUAUUGGAAAUACAAGUAUGGAUGCUGGUUUGUCAUUCAUUAUGGCUAACCAUGGAAAAGUGAAAGAAAACGAUAUUGUCUUUGAUCCAUUUGUUGGAACAGGUGGCCUGCUGAUAGCAUGUGCUCAUUUUGGUGCAUAUGUGUAUGGGACAGACAUAGACUACAACACAGUUCAUGGCUUGGGAAAGGCUACUAGGAAAAACCAGAAAUGGAGAGGACCAGAUGAAAACAUUAGGGCCAAUCUUCGUCAAUAUGGUUUAGAGAAGUAUUACCUUGAUGUCCUGGUUUCAGAUGCAUCUAAACCUUCCUGGAGGAAGGGCACAUAUUUUGAUGCAAUCAUUACUGAUCCUCCAUAUGGUAUCAGAGAAUCUACAAGAAGAACAGGUUCACAGAAGGAGAUACCAAAGGGGAUAGAAAAAUGGGAAAAAUGUCCAGAAAGCCAUGUUCCUGUUUCCUUGAGUUAUCAUCUGAGUGAUAUGUUUCUUGACCUGUUAAACUUCGCAGCUGAGACCCUCGUUUUAGGUGGAAGACUAGUCUAUUGGUUACCGGUGUAUACACCAGAAUACACUGAAGAGAUGGUGCCUUGGCACCCUUGCCUGGAACUCAUUAGCAACUGCGAGCAGAAGCUUUCCAGUCACACAUCAAGGCGCUUGAUCACAAUGGAAAAGGUGAAGAAAUUUGAGAAUCGGGACCAGUAUUCACAUCUGCUAAGUGAUCAUUUUCUGCCAUACCAAGGUCAUAAUUCCUUCCGUGAGAAAUAUUUCAGUGGGGUUACAAAAAGAAUUGCCAAGGAAGAAAAAUCCACCCAGGAAUGAAAAUUAAGAUUUUGACAAUGAAGAAAGAAUGAGAAUUUGAUUUAAAAAGACAUCUGGAUGUGAACUUUCAUAUAUGAUCCAGAAAAUAGAUGGUUACCUUGGUGGUGUUCAUCAGAGGUGCCUCCUUCCCGUCUAUUCUGGUGAGUACUUUUUGCUCUGAUAGCUGGGAGGGAAUAGUGGAGUAGGUGGUCUUUGUGUUUAGCCAAAGUGGCCAGCAGAUUUUGAAAAGUUUAAAAUCUGCUACAAUUUUCUCAGCCACUUCCUGCCCAGGGUGACCCAGUUUUGGGCUAGCUUGCCACUGACUUCCUUAUGACUAACUCUUUAAAUACAAGGAUUGAGCAGUAAAACAUUUUCAAACUGUUUAAGCUCUGGGAGGUAAGUCAGUAUUGCCACUAUUUCCUUGUUGAGAAAACUCACUCAAAUAUUGAGAUUCCCUACAUAUUUAAGAAGGAUGGCAAUUAUAAGUAAAAACAAAACAAAAAACAACAACAACCUUAUUUCAAGUUUUGUAGGGGAAAGUAGAGUAUGUGUUAACAUCACAGGAGGCAUUGUAGUGGGUGUGUUUAUUUUAUUGCGUUAAAAUUGUGCUUUAAAAGUUUGAGACAUGGAAAUAGUUUUUGAGGUAGUAUGUUUUAUACUCGUAAAUUAAAGAAGCAGGGAUUUGACUUUUUUUCAACACCAGGAAAUUAGACGUUGAGAUUGUGUUAUAUAGAUGCCAAUAUAAGCAACUCUGGCUCUUGAAUAAAAGUUCUUAGUCGUUUGGUGUUAGAAGAACUGCUGACAUCUUAUGCUGGAAAUAUUAUCAAAUAUUGCUUAUCCAAAGAGAUAUGGAAUAAAACAUAAUGUUUCUCUGUUGAAAACUGAAGGUGACUUUUUUGGGAAAUGAUCUUAUUUUCCAUCCCAUUGUAAUAAAUCUCCCUUGAAAAAGCACAGUGGAACUAGGCUCAUGUUAAUAGUUCUAAUAGGAAAAAAAUUCUUUGUAGAUAAAGCAAGGCAUAAAUAAACUCAUUAAUGCAUUGCAGUGGUGGAAAUGGAGGUGAGUGUUGCCAAGGCAAUUGAUGACCUUAUUGUUGACCUGCUUGACCAAAAGAUAAUAAAUUAUUCCAAAAUAAGAACCUUGGCUCUUUUUGCUGGGUUAUGGUUCUGUUCCAUUAUAAAGUUAUUUAGAAAACUAAACACUUGCAAGAAUCUUUGUUCUUAGAAGGACUGUAUUCAUAGAAUAAGUGAAAUCUACUUUGAUUUCCAACUUACCCACUCCCAUUUUUCUCAGAUAUUUAUCAAGUAAUGUGGUUUGUAAUCCAAACAAAAAAAAGUGCCUUAAUCCAGAACGUACACAUGGAGACAAUAACAGCAGACUGAUGGUGUUUGUACUUUACUAAAACAUUGAGAUCUUCUCUAAAACAGAGUGGUUUGAGAACAUAGUGUCUAGAGUGUAAAGAAUUAUAAUGGAAUGGUAAACAUACUGUGAUUCUAUCUGGUCAUAGAAUCAUAGAGACCAGCACAUUCCUGUCUAUCCUUUGGGGUGAAAAACUAGGGAACCUGACCCCUUUCCCUUAAAAGAGAUCUGCCUUACGAUGUUCAUAUGUUUCACUGUGUGGGAUAAGCAAGUUGACAUUUAGACAUAACUGAGGCCAACCUGGAAUUUGGCUCUUAGCCCUUCCUUUAUAAGCCCUUGUAGACAGUGCUCUUUGGGGGAUGGAGGUUUAACUGUAAUGACAGUCUUUUAAGCCUGGGUCAUGGAACAAAAUAGGGCUUGAUAGAUGAAUGUUAAGAUAAAUCAGCUUCCCUUAUGUAACUGCUAGCCCUAUUUCUUGUGAUAUUAAGAUGUGCUUAGUAUAUUUUUGUUUUAAAAUUUGAAAGUUCUUACUAAGAUAAUCAUGUUGCAGUCAUGCCAGACUGAAUUGCCUAAAAAGGAACCUGUUUUGACCUCUAUGACUUUAAAAAUCUCUCCUUUAAUCAAGCUUCCCUGGCUCUCUCCUGAGGAUUUAUCAGAAGAACUCUAUUUUGGCUAGCAUGCAGCAGUGAAGAUUAGCUGGGCUUAUGUGUGAAGUUAGUCAAAUUAAAAGGAAAAAGGCUGAGGAGAAAAUUAAAAUUGAAAAUGUAAAUGGUACUUAUGAUAUUGGAGUUGUGCUUUGAUGGACUGCCAAAGUAAUGUGUUGUAAGUUGGUGAAGUGGGUCAAUAUGGGCUGAGUUGUUAUUGGUGAGUUUUAAAAAUCUUUAAGAGUCCUUUAACAUUUGUGUAUAAAUCUUGGAGUAUCUCACCACAAGUUGGAGUGACUUCUGCACAAAGAGCAAAAUUGCCUUUGCAUUUUUCCAUUUUUCUACAUACCAAUUGAGAAGCAAUUCUCCAUAGAUCUCUUGCAUUUCUAUAUGUCUUUCUAAGAAAGGCACAGACUUCUUGUGUCCUGUACUGUGUUUUUGAGGAUAUUUGUAUAGUGAACAAUCUUGGAAGAUAUAGAGUCUUUCUCUCCCCUGUCUCCCCCUCGCUUUUAACUUCUGGAGCAGAGGUUUAAGUUUGUGUACAACCUUGGAAGAUAGUGUCUUCCCUUCAGAGUAAAGGCAUGCUUACUGCCCAUUAUAAAAGAUUGGGUUCCCUAAGCUUAAUAUUUCUUCUUUGUAAUACAGCCUACUGUAAGGCACCCAUCUGGGCCUAAUCUGGUCAUUCUUCUGAGACUUGGGUAUAAGGAAGAACUGAUUGUUAAAAUGCUGAUUAUCAGGCCAGGCACAGUGGCUCAUGCCUGUAAUCCCAGCACUUUGGGAGGCCGAGGCAGGUGGAUCACCUGAGGUCAGGAGUUUGAGAUCAGCCUGUCCAACAUGGUGAAACCCCAUCUCUACUAAAAAUACAAAAAUUACCCAGGCAUGGUAUGGUGCAUGCCUGUAAUCCCAGCUACUCUGGAGGCUGAGACAUGAGAAUUGCUUGAACCCGGGAGGUGGAGAUUGCAGUGAGCUGAGAUUACACCACUGCACUCCAGCCUGGGUGACAGAGCGAGACUCCAUCUCAAAAAAAAAAAAAAAAAAAAAAUUGCGGAUUAUCAUGCCCUGCUUAUUGUACCAUAAGUAAUAAAGUUCUUUGUAUGUGACCUAGGAGUAUGUCUUUUACCGGUUUCAAUGAAUAUGUCAGGUGCUUGCAAUAGAGCAAAAUCUCAGAUCCUUCACAGUUCUUGAUGGUUUUUGGUCAUGAGGAUGGGAUGCUGACAGACACAUAGCUUUCUGGAAGAGGAGGAGGGCUUUGGGGCUCAUUAACAGGAUUCAUAGGAAGUCCUUAGUAAUUGUUAGCAAGCAUAUUGACCAAAUUUCAUGAUCAACCUGAUGAUACAUGGUCCUCAACUUCAUUGCCUGUUAAUGAGGAGCAAAUGGGGCAGUGGUUGCAGGCCAAGUAUCAGAAAGUAGGUCCAGUGAUAGUUACCCAAAUGGUCCCUUGUUUUUUGCUAACCCUUUUCUGGGCGUUUGGAGAGGUGUUUCCUCACCAGUUUGCCAAUUAGCUUCAAGUCCACCCCACUAUAACAAUUAGUACUAAGAUAUAUCCUGAGUGGGCUGAAGGGUGUACCUUCUUAGACAAUAGGUGAAUCAUUAGAACUUUGGCUGUUUUGCUUGGGACAUAUGGUGGCAGGGCACAUCAUGGUUGUUAAGGAACAAGGGCAACAAGUGGUCUAUUUUAUGGCUCAGCUCCUCCUGGCAGUCUGUCAUGCCAGACUUAAUAUCCAUUCAGAGAAAAUAAUAAAGGAUUUUUUUUUUCCAGUGGGUCUUGGUUGCUUUCAGAGAGCAUUGGCAUCUCAGGGAUAUAUUCCUGAGACAAACUCCUGUGGGAAGGGAUAGAAGAGGCAUUAACUAGUAUUUGAUCUUUUACUGUCCUGAAUUGAGUUUACCGUUCUGAUGAAGGCGACCUACUGAAGAAUGAGAAACUGACCCAGAGAAUUCUAGAUAAAUUCUUGCAGUUGGCCCCCCAACCUUGGAAAACUGCUCUACCUUUUAUGUUAAAACUGGGCCAGAACUUAAGAGAUAUUUCUUGGUACUGGUGAAGAUGCUGUCAAUUAAGAUGAACUCCUAAAAAAAAAGAAAAAUGUCAAUGUAAGUCAAGCUAGAGUCAGGCAAAGGACACAAACCCAGUGGCUUCAGUCUGAAGACCAUGUGUCCAUGGUUGCUGAGUCAAAGGGUCCCCAAUGCCAAAACAUUGUCAGAUUUUGCUUUGUUUUGGAGACCAAAAUCAUUGGAAUUUCAUUUAUUUGAGCCCCAAGCAGCUGCUAUACUACUCAAUACUAAAAGUAGAUGUAAAGCCUUGCAUACUGGCAUGGAGCCUCCCACGGCUUUAAGGAGAAAAAUGAUUAGGGAUGGGGCCCAGGACUCCUUAUCUCAAAGGAGGACCAACCACCACAUGUACCCAUCUGAAUAUGCUGGGGGACUUUCUAGGAGAAAGGGGCACAAACUUGUAUGGCUGUGUUGAAUACAGGUGCCCAGUUCACCAUCUUACACAGUCCUGUGGGGGAAGGGUCCGCUCGAUUUCAACUGAUAGGGUUUGGGCAAGGUUCAUAAUAGGAAAGGAAAGUUAACAUGACCUUGUGGGUAUGACCUGUUGAACCAAUUCAAUGGACUGUUGUUCUUUUUGUAUCUGAAUAUAUAGCAGAAAAUGACAUGUUAUAUACUUGAACUUUUCUGCCCUAUAAGUGCUAGAGCCCAACCAGAAAGAGUCCCAUUUAGAUAGGUACUAGUAUCUUUGAGGCCACACAAACCUAAUGAUACCUUUGAGCUACAGAAUAUCCUGUAACUGAUUACUUUGCUGAUUGGAGACCCUGGUAAAAGGAGAUACUCUUCAUCCAGAGGUGCCCUUGGAGUUUUGGAUGCCUGGACCCCUUGACAUGGCUGGCCAGAUACGCGCCUUCUGAAAAACAACUAAAUAUUAGCUACUACUGAUACAGACAGGAGGCAGGGAAAUACUGGGUAGAAGAGGGCAGCGCCCUGACAAAGGCCUCACCCUCAAGCCUGGAAACCCACGGCCCUAAUUGGGAACAGGCAUUCCUGUUUUUGUGCCCAAAUGUUGCCUUUUGGCCUGCCAUGCCCCCUUAUCCUGUACCCAUAUAAACCCUAAACCCCAGGCUCCACAAGCAGAAGAGUGGCAGGGAAGGAGAGAAGAGAAGGAGCAUCUGAAUGUCAAGAGGAGUUUGGCUGGAGAUGGUUGGAGAGGAGAUUGGUUGCAGGACAGCUGAACUCCAGGGGAAGAUCAUCUUCCCACUCCAUCCCCUUUACAGCUCCCCAUCCAUCCCGCUGAAAGCCACUUCCACCACUCCAUUAAAGCCUCAUAUUCACCAUCCUUCAAGUUUGUGUGUGACCUGAUUCUUCCUGCAUGCUGGACAAGGACCCGGGUAUCAAGAGGGCAGGGUGUAAAAGGCUGUCACCCUGACUCGCCAGUGAGCUAGUUUUAACACUUAGCUGUUCACAGACGGCAACUGCUAAAAGACCAUUAAUUGUAACACACUCCUAGAUGCUACUGUGGGGCUGGAGCCCAAAAGCGCUCGCCCCAGGUCCUGCAUCUACCUGUCUGUGUGCUUCCCUUCCCCUAAGGGGUUUGAGCCACACCCCUGUCACAAGUUCAUCGAAGGAGUCGGGCAACUCUCCUGUUUCACUACUGGGCUUCUGUCAAAACUGAACACUUAAGCCAUCUAGCCUGCUGUUCCCUUUUUGGAGUAGAUCAAACAGACCUCAUGACUACUAAAAUGGAAAGGGCCCAACUAGCCUUGCUUGUCAUAUAAAAUCAUUAUAUGUAAUAAUCAUUAAUGCAACAGACCUAGCCUCAAUGACAUCUUGGAUUUACAUGAAAAAGUGGCAGCUAAUCCUUUGGGGGAAAACUUUAUCGUCCAUUCUGUUGCUUGAAACAAAGCCCCUGGCUCAGCACCCUCGUUUCAUAAAGGUUACAUAUAGGGGCUUUAAAAAUACAUUUAGGUGGCAUUUAGGAGAUUCCUCAAAUUGCCUGUUGCUUCUUUCACUGAUAGAUUGGCUAAGCUGAAAACCAGUGCCAUUUCAAUGGACUGCAAUGGCUGUUCAACCUCAGUGCCAGGUAA